rnacentral:rRNA from 1 species
UACGUAGGCAGCAAGCGUUGUUCGGAAUUACUGGGCGUAAAGAGUGUGUAGGCGGUGCUCUAAGUCUGUUGUGAAAUCUCCCGGCUUAACCGGGAGGGUGCGGCGGAAACUGGAGUGCUUGAGGGUGGGAGAGGUAAGCGGAAUUCCUGGUGUAGCGGUGAAAUGCGUAGAUAUCUGGAGGAACACCGGUGGCGAAGGCGGCAUUCUGGACCGGUAUUGACGCUGAGGAGCAAAAGCGUGGGGAGCGAACAGG